rnacentral:rRNA from 1 species
GACGAACGCUGGCGGCGUGCUUAACACAUGCAAGUCGAACGGAAAGGCCCUGCUUUUGUGGGGUGCUCGAGUGGCGAACGGGUGAGUAACACGUGAGUAACCUGCCCUUGACUUUGGGAUAACUUCAGGAAACUGGGGCUAAUACCGGAUAGGAGCCCCUGCUGCAUGGUGGGGGUUGGAAAGUUUCGGCGGUUGGGGAUGGACUCGCGGCUUAUCAGCUUGUUGGUGGGGUAGUGGCUUACCAAGGCUUUGACGGGUAGCCGGCCUGAGAGGGUGACCGGCCACAUUGCGACUGAGGUACGGUCCAGACUCCUACGGGGGGCAGCGGUGGGAGAUACUGCACAAGGCGCGGAAGCCUGGUGCAGCAACGCCGCGUGCGGGAUGGCCGCCUUGGGGUUGUAAACCGCUUUCGCCUGUGACGAAGCGUGAGUGACGGUAAUGGGUAAAGAAGCACCGGCUAACUACGUG